GACGAAGGGGGCUAGCGUUGUUCGGAAUUACUGGGCGUAAAGCGCGUGCAGGCGGUUUCCUAAGUCGGGUGUGAAAGCCUUGAGCUCAACUCAAGAAUUGCGCUCGAUACUGGGUGACUAGAGGACCGGAGAGGAUAGUGGAAUUCCCAGUGUAGUGGUGAAAUACGUAGAGAUUGGGAAGAACACCAGUGGCGAAGGCGGCUAUCUGGACGGUUUCUGACGCUAAGACGCGAAAGCGUGGGGAGCAAACAGG
rnacentral:rRNA from 1 species